rnacentral:rRNA from 1 species
CAGCCGCCACGGGAAUACGGAGGGAGCUAGCGUUGUUCGGAAUUACUGGGCGUAAAGCGCGCGUGGGCGGUUACUCAAGUCAGAGGUGAAAGCCCGGGGCUCAACCCCGGAACUGCCUUUGAAACUAGGUAACUAGAAUCUUGGAGAGGUCAGUGGAAUUCCGAGUGUAGAGGUGAAAUUCGUAGAUAUUCGGAAGAACACCAGUGGCGAAGGUGACUGACUGGACAAGUAUUGACGCUGAGGUGCGAAAGCGUGGGGAGCAAACAGGAUUAGAUACCCCCGUAGUCCCUGUCUCUUAUAC